rnacentral:rRNA from 1 species
UACGAAGGGGGCUAGCGUUGUUCGGAAUUACUGGGCGUAAAGCGUGCGCAGGCGGCUUCUCAAGUCAGGGGUGAAAGCCCAGGGCUCAACUCUGGAAUUGCCUUUGAGACUGAGUGGCUUGAGUACGAGAGAGGUGAGUGGAAUUCCCAGUGUAGAGGUGAAAUUCGUAGAUAUUGGGAAGAACACCGGUGGCGAAGGCGGCUCACUGGCUCGUUUCUGACGCUCAGGCGCGACAGCGUGGGGAUCAAACAGG